GAUGAACGCUGGCGGCGUGCCUAAUACAUGCAAGUCGAGCGAACAGACGAGGAGCUUGCUCCUCUGACGUUAGCGGCGGACGGGUGAGUAACACGUGGAUAACCUACCUAUAAGACUAGGAUAACUUCGGGAAACCGGAGCUAAUACCGGAUAAUAUAUUGAACCGCAUGGUUCAAUAGUGAAAGACGGUUUUGCUGUCACUUAUAGAUGGAUCCGCGCCGCAUUAGCUAGUUGGUAAGGUAACGGCUUACCAAGGCAACGAUGCGUAGCCGACCUGAGAGGGUGAUCGGCCACACUGGAACUGAGACACGGUCCAGACUCCUACGGGAGGCAGCAGUAGGGAAUCUUCCGCAAUGGGCGAAAGCCUGACGGAGCAACGCCACGUGAGUGAUGAAGGUCUUCGGAUCGUAAAACUCUGUUAUUAGGGAAGAACAAAUGUGUAAGUAACUAUGCACGUCUUGACGGUACCUAAUCAGAAAGCCACGGCUAACUACGUG
rnacentral:rRNA from 1 species